rnacentral:rRNA from 1 species
AACGAACGCUGGCGGCAUGCCUAACACAUGCAAGUCGAACGAUCCCUUCGGGGAUAGUGGCGCACGGGUGCGUAACGCGUGGGAACCUUCCCUUAGGUUCGGAAUAACUCAGAGAAAUUUGAGCUAAUACCGGAUAAUGUCUUCGGACCAAAGAUUUAUCGCCUUUGGAUGGGCCCGCGUUGGAUUAGCUAGUUGGUGGGGUAAAGGCCUACCAAGGCGACGAUCCAUAGCUGGUCUGAGAGGAUGAUCAGCCACACUGGGACUGAGACACGGCCCAGACUCCUACGGGAGGCAGCAGUGGGGAAUAUUGGACAAUGGGCGAAAGCCUGAUCCAGCAAUGCCGCGUGAGUGAUGAAGGCCUUAGGGUUGUAAAGCUCUUUUACCCGGGAUGAUAAUGACAGUACCGGGAGAAUAAGCCCCGGCUAACUCCGUG